rnacentral:lncRNA from 13 species
UAUGGAGCAAAUGUGACUGGGAGAGACUAGUGAGGCAGCAGAGAGACAAGGAUGUGCGGUGUGUGUGUGUGUGUGUGUGUGUGUGGUGUGUGUGUGUGUGCGGUGUGUGUGUGGUGUGUGUGUGCGGUGUGUGUGUGUGCGGUGUGUGUGUGUGCGGUGUGUGUGUAUGUGUGUGCAGUGUGUGUGUGUAUGUGUGUGCGGUGUGUGUGUGUGCGGUGUGUGUGUUUGUGUGUAUGUGUGUUCAGGAGAACACAGGAGGGGUGAGGUUAGGUGAGAAACAGAAGAUUUGUGAGAGCUUAGGGUCAAAUAAAUACAUUGGAGUUCAUGAGAUUUCAGAGAGGUCCCCAGACUUACUUCAAGACAGUAAGAGAGAGGUUAGAGGAGCAGUUCUGAUGUGGCUUCAUUACCAACAGCAGCUGGACAACAUCUGUGCACAUUCAGAGCCCACUUUACAAAAUGGACUGUGUGUCAAAGAAGGAAAAGGCAGCAUUGCAAAGAAAGGGUAUUUACUGGAUACCUGCCAUGUUCCAAACAUCCAGAAAGGAGUUGUAAUGGACAAAGAAGACACAUGUCUACAAGAAGCUUAUGGUCUACUGGCCAGAGAUGAGAUGUGUCCACAGAUAGCAACACUGCAAGUUGAGUAAAGAAGAACCUGUAGCGCAGGUCAAGUGCUAUGCCACUGUGACCCUUCUUUGAACAAGCUUGAUGUAUGAAAUUAAAUCACAG